GAUGAACGCUGGCGGCGUGCCUAAUACAUGCAAGUCGAGCGAACGGACGAGAAGCUUGCUUCUCUGAUGUUAGCGGCGGACGGGUGAGCAACACGUGGAUAACCUACCUAUAAGACUGGGAUAACUUCGGGAAACCGGAGCUAAUACCGGAUAAUAUUUUGAACCGCAUGGUUCAAAAGUGAAAGACGGUCUUGCUGUCACUUAUAGAUGGAUCCGCGCUGCAUUAGCUAGUUGGUAAGGUAACGGCUUACCAAGGCAACGAUGCAUAGCCGACCUGAGAGGGUGAUCGGCCACACUGGAACUGAGACACGGUCCAGACUCCUACGGGAGGCAGCAGUAGGGAAUCUUCCGCAAUGGGCGAAAGCCUGACGGAGCAACGCCGCGUGAGUGAUGAAGGUCUUCGGAUCGUAAAACUCUGUUAUUAGGGAAGAACAUAUGUGUAAGUAACUGUGCACAUCUUGACGGUACCUAAUCAGAAAGCCACGGCUAACUACGUGCCAGCAGCCGCGGUAAUACGUAGGUGGCAAGCGUUAUCCGGAAUUAUUGGGCGUAAAGCGCGCGUAGGCGGUUUUUUAAGUCUGAUGUGAAAGCCCACGGCUCAACCGUGGAGGGUCAUUGGAAACUGGAAAACUUGAGUGCAGAAGAGGAAAGUGGAAUUCCAUGUGUAGCGGUGAAAUGCGCAGAGAUAUGGAGGAACACCAGUGGCGAAGGCGACUUUCUGGUCUGUAACUGACGCUGAUGUGCGAAAGCGUGGGGAUCAAACAGGAUUAGAUACCCUGGUAGUCCACGCCGUAAACGAUGAGUGCUAAGUGUUAGGGGGUUUCCGCCCCUUAGUGCUGCAGCUAACGCAUUAAGCACUCCGCCUGGGGAGUACGACCGCAAGGUUGAAACUCAAAGGAAUUGACGGGGACCCGCACAAGCGGUGGAGCAUGUGGUUUAAUUCGAAGCAACGCGAAGAACCUUACCAAAUCUUGACAUCCUUUGACAACUCUAGAGAUAGAGCUUUCCCCUUCGGGGGACAAAGUGACAGGUGGUGCAUGGUUGUCGUCAGCUCGUGUCGUGAGAUGUUGGGUUAAGUCCCGCAACGAGCGCAACCCUUAAGCUUAGUUGCCAUCAUUAAGUUGGGCACUCUAAGUUGACUGCCGGUGACAAACCGGAGGAAGGUGGGGAUGACGUCAAAUCAUCAUGCCCCUUAUGAUUUGGGCUACACACGUGCUACAAUGGACAAUACAAAGGGCAGCGAAACCGCGAGGUCAAGCAAAUCCCAUAAAGUUGUUCUCAGUUCGGAUUGUAGUCUGCAACUCGACUACAUGAAGCUGGAAUCGCUAGUAAUCGUAGAUCAGCAUGCUACGGUGAAUACGUUCCCGGGUCU
rnacentral:rRNA from 1 species